ACGGGUGAGUAAUGCCUAGGAAUCUGCCUGGUAGUGGGGGAUAACGUUCGGAAACGAACGCUAAUACCGCAUACGUCCUACGGGAGAAAGCAGGGGACCUUCGGGCCUUGCGCUAUCAGAUGAGCCUAGGUCGGAUUAGCUAGUUGGUGAGGUAAUGGCUCACCAAGGCGACGAUCCGUAACUGGUCUGAGAGGAUGAUCAGUCACACUGGAACUGAGACACGGUCCAGACUCCUACGGGAGGCAGCAGUGGGGAAUAUUGGACAAUGGGCGAAAGCCUGAUCCAGCCAUGCCGCGUGUGUGAAGAAGGUCUUCGGAUUGUAAAGCACUUUAAGUUGGGAGGAAGGGCAGUUACCUAAUACGUGAUUGUUUUGACGUUACCGACAGAAUAAGCACCGGCUAACUCUGUGCCAGCAGCCGCGGUAAUACAGAGGGUGCAAGCGUUAAUCGGAAUUACUGGGCGUAAAGCGCGCGUAGGUGGUUUGUUAAGUUGGAUGUGAAAUCCCCGGGCUCAACCUGGGAACUGCAUUCAAAACUGACUGACUAGAGUAUGGUAGAGGGUGGUGGAAUUUCCUGUGUAGCGG
rnacentral:rRNA from 3 species